UUCCUUUCAGGGUUGCACAUGGAGAGUUUCCAGUACUCUACCAGUCUCAACUACAGAAGAGUCAAGCAGAGGCGUACCCAUUCCAUUCCUAGCUUGACCAGUGGCUAGCAAGUGGAAGGCAAUCUGCUACAAAU